UAUUAAAGAAAAUAUAAAGAGCCUAAAUAAUUAUUUUACUUUAAUAUGGCGUAUAUAUAUAUAUAUAUAUAUUGUCAGCAAAGCAUCUAGUGAUGAAACUGAACAACUGAACUCCGCUCAGAAUCGUUUUUUCGGAAGCAAUGGUUUAUUGUUGUUUACAGAUAUACGUUAAAUCACCACUGCACACUAUACUUGAUAUAAACAUUUUUUGUUUUUUUUUUUUUUUACGAGAGGGAAACUAAAUAAAACAUUUAAAAACCAUCAAGUAUCAAAUAAUAACUACACACGUAUACAUUAAAACGAAAAAGGUAAAAAUAAAAUUAAUAAUCGAUACCGAAGCCCAUGUUUGGUUUUCACUGAAAACGAGUCGCACAGAAAUUAUAAACUGCUGGCCUGGAAUUCACAGGAAUUGAGCACUAAUUAACGACAAAAAAUAAAUUCGGUAUUCAGUUUGGAGUGGGUGGGUUGCGGGGCGACGGUGUGGUUUCGAAUAUAUGUAUAUAUAUAUAAAUAAGUACUCGUAAUUUUAUCGUCGCGGUUAGUUAGUUAGGUUGGUUUUUUUUCCACUUUGAAAUUUCCUGCGUUUUUUCGUCGAUGGUAUUUUAUCAAUGUUAGAGAAAUUUUACGAUUUUGCCAAAUAAUAUAUAAUUCAAGUACAUCAAGGACAACGGCAAUAUCAUACUCGUACACUAAGUACCGUAGAUUUAAACUAUAGUAUUAUAAUACCGUAGAACUACUAUGAUCUUAUUUCUAUAGCAGCCUAUUAUGCAAUUCGGUCCGAAAGACUCCCUCUGUAGUUAAUCUUGAUAAAGUACUCAACGAUUAUAAACAUUAUUUGAGGGAAACGGCAAGCGCAUAAAUAACACGUAUGCUAAUGUAAACUUGUUCACGAUUCCUGCUUAUAAGUUUCACGAUGAUUUAUAAUUUUAUUAUUAUACGAUA